rnacentral:rRNA from 1 species
GAUGAACGCUGGCGGCGUGCCUAAUACAUGCAAGUCGAACGCAUAGCGAAAGGUGCUUGCACCUUUCAAGUGAGUGGCGAACGGGUGAGUAACACGUGGACAACCUGCCUCAAGGCUGGGGAUAACAUUUGGAAACAGAUGCUAAUACCGAAUAAAACUUAGUGUCGCAUGACACAAAGUUAAAAGGCGCUUCUGCGUCACCUAGAGACGGAUCCGCGGUGCAUUAGUUAGUUGGUGGGGUAAAGGCCUACCAAGACAAUGAUGCAUAGCCGAGUUGAGAGACUGAUCGGCCACAUUGGGACUGCGACACGGCCCAAACUCCUACGGGAGGCUGCAGUAGGGAAUCUUCCACAAUGGGCGAAAGCCUGAUGGAGCAACGCCGCGUGUGUGAUGAAGGCUUUCGGGUCGUAAAGCACUGUUGUAUGGGAAGAACAGCUAGAAUAGGAAAUGAUUUUAGUUUGACGGUACCAUACCAGAAAGGGACGGCUAAAUACGUG